rnacentral:rRNA from 1 species
AUUGAACGCUGGCGGAAUGCUUUACACAUGCAAGUCGAACGAUGAACCUUAGCUUGCUAAGGGGAUUAGUGGCGAACGGGUGAGUAAUGUAUCGGAACGUAUCCAAUAAUGGGGGAUAACUAGUCGAAAGAUUAGCUAAUACCGCAUACGUCCUACGGGAGAAAGCUAGGGACCUUCGGGCCUGGCGUUAAUGGAGCGGCCGAUAUCUGAUUAGCUAGUUGGUGGGGUAAAGGCUCACCAAGGCGACGAUCAGUAGCUGGUCUGAGAGGACGACCAGCCAGACUGGAAGUGAGAGACGGUCCAGACUCCUACGGGAGGCAGCAGUGGGGGAUUUUGGACAAUGGGCGAAAGCCUGAUCCAGCCAUGCCGCGUGAGUGAAGGAGGCCUUCGGGUUGUAAAGCUCUUUCGCAAGGGAAGAAAACUUAAGCUCUAACAUAGCUUGAGGUUGACGGUACCUUGAUAAGAAGCACCGGCUAACUACGUGCCAGCAGCCGCGGUAA